GAUGAACGCUGGCGGCGUGCCUAAUACAUGCAAGUCGAGCGAACAGACGAGGAGCUUGCUCCUCUGACGUUAGCGGCGGACGGGUGAGUAACACGUGGAUAACCUACCUAUAAGACUGGGAUAACUUCGGGAAACCGGAGCUAAUACCGGAUAAUAUAUUGAACCGCAUGGUUCAAUAGUGAAAGACGGUUUUGCUGUCACUUAUAGAUGGAUCCGCGCCGCAUUAGCUAGUUGGUAAGGUAACGGCUUACCAAGGCGACGAUGCGUAGCCGACCUGUGAGGGUGAUCGCCCACACUGGAACUGAGACACGGUCCAGACUCCUACGGGAGGCAGCAGUAGGGAAUCUUCCGCAAUGGGCGAAAGCCUGACGGAGCAACGCCGCGUGAGUGAUGAAGGUCUUCGGAUCGUAAAACUCUGUUAUUAGGGAAGAACAAAUGUGUAAGUAACUAUGCACGUCUUGACGGUACCUAAUCAGAAAGCCACGGCUAACUACGUG
rnacentral:rRNA from 1 species